rnacentral:tRNA from 1 species
GGGCACGUAGCUCAGUGGAUAGAGCACCAGAUUCCGGUUCUGGGUUCGCGGGAGUUCGAGUCUCUCCGUGCCCG